AUGCUCACUUCGGCAGCACAUGUACUAAAAUUGGAACGAUACAGAGAAGAUUAGUAUGGCCCCUGUGCAAGGAUGACACGCAAAUUCCUGAAGCGUUUCUUAGUUUU
rnacentral:snRNA from 1 species